rnacentral:rRNA from 1 species
UACGUAGGGCGCAAGCGUUAUCCGGAAUUAUUGGGCGUAAAGAGCUCGUAGGCGGUUUGUCGCGUCUGCCGUGAAAGUCCGGGGCUCAACUCCGGAUCUGCGGUGGGUACGGGCAGACUAGAGUGAUGUAGGGGAGACUGGAAUUCCUGGUGUAGCGGUGAAAUGCGCAGAUAUCGAGAGGAACACCUGCGGCGAAGGCGGGUUGCUGGGCUGAUACUGACGCUGAGGCGCGAAAGCCAGAGGAGCGAACGGG